UGGCGGCACUAGCGCGGUGGUCCCACCUGACCCCAUGCCGAACUCAGAAGUGANGAAACGCCGUAGCGCCGAUGGUAGUGUGGGGUCUCCCCAUGCGAGAGUAGGGAACUGCCAGGCA
rnacentral:rRNA from 1 species